rnacentral:lncRNA from 1 species
UACCAUGUCAACAUUAUAUUUGAUUUGUUUGUCAUUUUAUCGACUAAUUUUAGUUGGUAGCAUCUUUUGCUUCCAAAUUUUGCUUUUUUUCAGUUAUUUGCUGCACCAACCCAAUUAUAUGUUGAGUUUGAAUUUUUGUUUUGCAGUUCUGGUUUCAAGGUAAGGGGCACAGUAGAAGGGUAUCUUAAAUUUUUGUUUUGCAGUUAUGACACAAUGGAAGCAUGACGUGAGGUAUAUUUCAGUAGGGAGGCAUACGAAAAUAGCAGAGGCAUGAUAUGAGGUAUUUCACUAGUUUAAUAACCAAAAGAGUACAAACUCAAAACUUUUUUGAGAUACUUUGAAAGCCUUUCCAUCUAAACUGGUUUUAAUAAGCUUGCUAGUGCAAAUAGCUGUUUCUUAAUUAAUAACAAUGCAAUACUAGCUCUGAUAGGUCCCACCCUGAUUGUAUACGGAUGGAAGUGUUACGUUUCAUGGAAAU